CCUACGGGUGACAGCAGUGGGGGAUAUUGCACAAUGGGGGGAACCCUGAUGCAGCGACGCCGCGUGGGUGAAGAAGCGCCUCGGCGCGUAAAGCCCUGUCAGCAGGGAAGAAAAUGACGGUACCUGAAGAAGAAGCCCCGGCUAACUACGUGCCAGCAGCCGCCGUAAUACGGAGGGGGCAAGCGGUAUCCGGAUUUACUGGGGGGAAAGGGGGCGGAGACGGCGAUGCAAGCCAGGAGUGAAAGCCCGGGGCCCAACCCCGGGACUGCUCUUGGAACUGCGUGGCUGGAGUGCAGGAGGGGCAGGCGGAAUUCCUGGUGUAGCGGUGAAAUGCGUAGAUAUCAGGAGGAACACCGGUGGCGAAGGCGGCCUGCUGGACUGCAACUGACGUUGAGGCCCGAAAGCGUGGGGAGCAAACAGGAUUAGAUACCCCAGUAGUC
rnacentral:rRNA from 1 species